rnacentral:rRNA from 1 species
UACGUAGGGUGCAAGCGUUAUCCGGAAUUAUUGGGCGUAAAGAGCUCGUAGGCGGUUUGUCGCGUCUGCUGUGAAAACCGGAGGCUCAACCUCCGGCCUGCAGUGGGUACGGGCAAACUAGAGUGCGGUAGGGGAGAUUGGAAUUCCUGGUGUAGCGGUGGAAUGCGCAGAUAUCAGGAGGAACACCGAGGGCGAAGGCAGAUCUCUGGGCCGUAACUGACGCUGAGGAGCGAAAGCGUGGGGAGCGAACAGG